GGUAGAUUGCAAGUCGAACGGCAGCACGGGGGCAACCCUGGUGGCGAGUGGCGAACGGGUGAGUAAUACAUCGGAACGUGUCCUGUAGUGGGGGAUAGCCCGGCGAAAGCCGGAUUAAUACCGCAUACGCUCUACGGAGGAAAGGGGGGGAUCUUAGGACCUCUCGCUACAGGGGCGGCCGAUGGCAGAUUAGCUAGUUGGUGGGGUAAAGGCCUACCAAGGCGACGAUCUGUAGCUGGUCUGAGAGGACGACCAGCCACACUGGGACUGAGACACGGCCCAGACUCCUACGGGAGGCAGCAGUGGGGAAUUUUGGACAAUGGGCGCAAGCCUGAUCCAGCAAUGCCGCGUGUGUGAAGAAGGCCUUCGGGUUGUAAAGCACUUUUGUCCGGAAAGAAAACGUCGUGGUUAAUACCCGUGGCGGAUGACGGUACCGGAAGAAUAAGCACCGGCUAACUACGUGCCAGCAGCCGCGGUAAUACGUAGGGUGCAAGCGUUAAUCGGAAUUACUGGGCGUAAAGCGUGCGCAGGCGGUCCGCUAAGACAGAUGUGAAAUCCCCGGGCUUAACCUGGGAACUGCAUUUGUGACUGGCGGGCUAGAGUAUGGCAGAGGGGGGUAGAAUUCCACGUGUAGCAGUGAAAUGCGUAGAGAUGUGGAGGAAU
rnacentral:rRNA from 1 species